CAAGUACUCCCUCCGUUCCAUAAUACAUGCCUUUCAUUUGUCAAAGUAUAGAUGUAUCUAGACAUGUUUUAGUAUAUAGAUACAUCCAGUUUUGGACAAAUAGAAGUCAAGUACAGUAGUAUUUUGGAACGGAGGUAGUAUAUG
rfam:Triticum aestivum genome assembly, contig: Triticum_aestivum_CS42_TGACv1_scaffold_328062_4BS